UAGGGAAUAUUGCGCAAUGGGCGAAAGCCUGACGCAGCGACGCCGCGUGAGUGAAGAAGGUUCUCUGGAUUGUAAAGCUCUGUAAGGAGGGAAGAACCAGUUGGUGUAACGGCCAACUCUGACGGUACCUCCAAAGUAAGCACCGGCUAAAUAUGUGCCAGCAGCCGCGGUAAUACAUAUGGUGCGAGCGUUGUCCGGAAUGACUGGGCGUAAAGGGUGCGUAGGUUGACAGACAAGUCAGGUGUGAAAUCCCCGAGCUUAACUUGGGAACUGCGCUUGAAACUGUUUGUCUAGAGUAUGUGAGGGGUUAGCGGAAUUCCCGGAGUAGCGGUGAAAUGCGUAGAGAUCGGGAAGAACACCGGUGGCGAAGGCGGCUAACUGGCACAUUACUGACACUGAGGCACGAAAGCGUGGGGAGCGAACG
rnacentral:rRNA from 1 species